rnacentral:rRNA from 1 species
AUGCCGUAUGGAUUGGCAUAUGCGCCAGCUACAUUCCAAGGAGUGAUGCAUGUGGUCUUGCGUCCAGUUCACCGAAAAGGAGUCUUGGUGUUCAUGGACGAUAUCCUGAUCCAUUCUGAAGAUCUGGACACACACAAGCAGUUGCUCACCCAAGUACUGCAGCUGCUGAACCAAUAUGGUCUGAAAGCCAAACGAACCAAGUGCACCUUUGGGCAACAGAAAAUCAGCUAUUUGGGUCACAUUAUCAGUGAAGGAGGAGUGGCCACUGACAACAAGAAAGUGCAAGCCGUACAGGAGUGGCCUGUGCCAACCAAUACCAAGGAAUUGAGGGGGUUCUUGGGCCUCGCUGGCUAUUACAGAAAGUUUGUCCGCUUCUUUGGGGUGAUCAGCAAACCACUCACCAAUUUGUUGAAGAAGAACACGGUGUUUGUAUGGACACCUACGGCAGACGCAGCCUUCUCUGCCCUGAAAAAGGCCUUGAGCGUAGCCCCAGUGCUUGCACUCCCUGACUUUCGUCGCCAAUUCGUGGUGGAAACAGACGCAAGUGCCACAGGAAUAGGAGCGGUGCUGAUGCAAGACAACCACCCAGUGGCUUAUCUAAGCAAAGCAUUAGCCCUCAAGAAUCUUGGCCUUUCAGCAUAUUAA